rnacentral:rRNA from 1 species
AUUGAACGCUGGCGGCAGGCCUAACACAUGCAAGUCGAGCGAGCGGCGGACGGGUGAGUAAUGUCUGGGGAACUGCCCGAUGGAGGGGGAUAACUACUGGAAACGGUAGCUAAUACCGCAUACUAUCGGAUGUACCCAGAUGGGAUUAGCUAGUAGGUGGGGUAAUGGCUCACCUAGGCGACGAUCCCUAGCUGGUCUGAGAGGAUGACCAGCCAAACGGGAACUGAGACACGGUCCAGACUCCUACGGGAGGCAGCAGUGGGGAAUAUUGCACAAUGGGCGCAAGCCUGAUGCAGCCAUGCCGCGUGUGUGAAGAAGGCCUUCGGGUUGUAAAGCACUUUCAGUGGGGAGGCGUUACCGGCAGAAGAAGCACCGGCUAACUCCGUGCCAGCAGCCGCGGUAAUAC